rnacentral:rRNA from 1 species
GGGAACGAUUUUUCGUUCUUUAGUGUUAGUCCUGGCUCAGAAUCGCGCUGGCGGCGCGCCUAACACAUGCAAGCGAACGAGAAUUGGAGCAAUCCAUGAGUAAAGUGGCGUACGGGUGAAUAACACGUGGGUGAUCUACCUCUUAUUGAGGAAUAACCCUGGGAAACCGGGGCUAAUACCGCAUAAGCCUUAUCACGGAAAGUCGAAAGACACUGAGAGAGGAGCCCGCGGCCGAUUAGCUAGUUGGUGAGGUAAAAGCCCCCCAGGGCAGAAAUCGGUAGCCGGACUGAGGGGGCACGCGGCCACGCUGAAACUGAAACACUGGCCAAACUCCUGCCGGAGGCACCCCUGGGGAAUCUUGCGCAUUGGGCGAAAGCCUGACCCUUCCACCCCGCAUGGGGGAUGAAGCUUUUCGGAGUGUAAACCCCUUUCAACCGGGACGAAUGCCCGCGAGGGAGUGACCGUACCGGUAGAAGAAGCCCCGGCUAACUACAUGCCAUCAGCCGCGGUAAGACGUAGGGGGCCAGCGUUGUUCGGAAUUACUGGGUGUAAAGGGUUCCUAAGCCGUGUGGCAAGUCUGGAGUGAAAUCUCUGGGCUUAACUCCGAGGCUGCUUCCGAAACUGCUGUGAUAGAGUGCAGGACAGCCGCAUGGAAUUGCAGGUGUACCGCUGAAAUGACUAUAUAUCUGCCUGAACACCCGUGGCGAAAGCGAGCGCGCUGGACCGUUACUGACGCUGAGGAACGAAAGCUACGGGAGCGAAUUGGAUUACAUACCCUGCUAGUCCUAGCCCUAAACUAUCAGGACUUGUCGUGCCUUUCGUUCGGAAGGCCUCCCGAAUCUAACGCAUUAAAUCUUGCACGUGGCCAGUACAGCCGCGAGACUGAUACUCAAAGGCAUCGAUGCGGGCGCAACCAGCGGGGGAUCAUGUUGCUCAAUUCCACCUUCGCGAUGCAGCCUACCUGCAUCGAAAUGCUUCUGAGCAGCUGUAGAAUACGUCUUUCCUCACGGACGGGUGAUAUGACGCCUGCAUCGGCUGUCGCAACCCCGGCCCGUGAAGUGGCU